rnacentral:lncRNA from 1 species
AGGAGCCUAUUAAUGAGCUGCCUUCCCUGAUGUCAGGACUGAAACUUGAGAAACAAGUGUCUCUGAAAUCCCUGGAUCAUCUUAUGUUCUGGCAGUUUCUACCUGCUGUUAAUGAAGGACAAAUCAUCUCUUUCCAACUAGAUGGGGAACGCAGACUCCUGAGAAGUCACACCUUAAAACUGAGAGCAGAAGUAUGUGAGACCAGGUACCCCAACCCCCCACCUCCAACCACACACGCAGAGGAAACCAGGAAUGCGCGACAGCCUACCAACCUUGGCCUUCAGUUUCUCUCUCCUCCUGGGCCUUAAGGAGAGCUCACAGAGUUUGACUCAUUUCAUCGACAACGAUUAUUCUGGGGCAAAAUCAGAGGAAAGGGAGAGGGCGUCCUUGAGAGGAGAGAAUGUUCCAGG